rnacentral:rRNA from 1 species
GCGAAAGUAAGACUAAUACCCAAUGAUAUCUCUAGAAGACAUCUGAGGGAGAUUAAAGAUUUAUCGGUGAUGGAUGGGGAUGCGUCUGAUUAGCUUGUUGGCGGGGUAACGGCCCACCAAGGCGACGAUCAGUAGGGGUUCUGAGAGGAAGGUCCCCCACAUUGGAACUGAGACACGGUCCAAACUCCUACGGGAGGCAGCAGUGAGGAAUAUUGGUCAAUGGGCGAGAGCCUGAACCAGCCAAGUAGCGUGCAGGAUGACGGCCCUAUGGGUUGUAAACUGCUUUUAUAAGGGAAUAAAGUGAGCCUCGUGAGGCUUUUUGCAUGUACCUUAUGAAUAAGGACCGGCUAAUUCCGUGCCAGCAGCCGCGGUAAUACGGAAGGUCCGGGCGUUAUCCGGAUUUAUUGGGUUUAAAGGGAGCGUAGGCCGGAGAUUAAGCGUGUUGUGAAAUGUAGAUGCUCAACGUCUGCACUGCAGCGCGAACUGGUUUCCUUGAGUACGCACAAAGUGGGCGGAAUUCGUGGUGUAGCGGUGAAAUGCUUAGAUAUCACGAAGAACUACGAUUGCGAAGGCAGCUCACUGGAGCGCAACUGACGCUGAAGCUCGAAAGUGCGGGUAUCGAACAGGAUUAGAUACCCUGGUAGUCCGCACGGUAAACGAUGGAUGCCCGCUGUUGGUCUGAAUAGGUCAGCGGCCAAGCGAAAGCAUUAAGCAUCCCACCUGGGGAGUAC